GAUAUCAGGAGGAACACCGAUGGCGAAGGCAGGUCUCUGGGCAUUAACUGACGCUGAGGAGCGAAAGCAUGGGGAGCGAACAGGAUUAGAUACCCUGGUAGUCCAUGCCGUAAACGUUGGGCACUAGGUGUGGGGGACAUUCCACGUUUUCCGCGCCGUAGCUAACGCAUUAAGUGCCCCGCCUGGGGAGUACGGCCGCAAGGCUAAAACUCAAAGGAAUUGACGGGGGCCCGCACAAGCGGCGGAGCAUGCGGAUUAAUUCGAUGCAACGCGAAGAACCUUACCAAGGCUUGACAUGGACUGGAUCGCCGCAGAAAUGUGGUUUCCCCUUUGGGGCUGGUUCACAGGUGGUGCAUGGUUGUCGUCAGCUCGUGUCGUGAGAUGUUGGGUUAAGUCCCGCAACGAGCGCAACCCUCGUUCUAUGUUGCCAGCGCGUUAUGGCGGGGACUCAUAGGAGACUGCCGGGGUCAACUCGGAGGAAGGUGGGGACGACGUCAAAUCAUCAUGCCCCUUAUGUCUUGGGCUUCACGCAUGCUACAAUGGCCGGUACAAAGGGUUGCGAUACUGUGAGGUGGAGCUAAUCCCAAAAAGCCGGUCUCAGUUCGGAUUGGGGUCUGCAACUCGACCCCAUGAAGUCGGAGUCGCUAGUAAUCGCAGAUCAGCAACGCUGCGGUGAAUACGUUCCCGGGCCUUGUACACACCGCCCGUCAAGUCACGAAAGUUGGUAACACCCGAAGCCGGUGGCCUAACCCCUUGUGGGAGGGAGCUGUCGAAGGUGGGACUGGCGAUUGGGACUAAGU
rnacentral:rRNA from 1 species